UCUUGCCAUUUUCAUGCUGGCUUGUUCCUUUUCCUUGGAAAGGAGAUCUCAACUUGCUUGUGUGAGAUGACAGCCCAAGAGUAUUUGCCAAAAGUUGGGAAAAUGCCAAGUUUUCAUUAAACCUCUUGUAAACCCCAAAUUGCUGUCCUGCGAGGCUACAUCUGGCAAGGAAGCCAUCUGCGAUUCGUAUAGUCUUGCUCCAACAAAACGACAACAGUGUGAAAAACUCUUUUCUCUGGUCGGCAGUGAACUGUAAAAGUAACAUUAGUAAUAGCUUCUGCAGGCUCAGUAAUGACAUAAUUGACAUUGGCUGAAAGCACAAGCCCCAACUGCGGGGUCUUGCCAAGGCUCUGGAUUGAUUCAUAUCAUCCUUCAAAAAUACAGGUCAUAGUCAAUAGCCCUCUUGGAUGCUGCUUCUCACACCGGUGUUGAGACUGCUCUCCUUCUGAGCUGUGUCUGCAGUGAAGUCUUGCAGAGUACGAGCCUCCUGACCCCAGCCCCAGCCAAAAAAAAGAAGGGGGGGCUGUUCUGCUUGACUGAAGCCAUUUGCUUGAUCCAUAAACAAGAUGAGCUGCACUGUGAGGGGGCUCCCAUUUAUAGCAUCCGGGAAUCUUUCCAGAUGCAGAUACAAUUCCUGAGCAGGACACAAACUGAUAUUCCCUCCCCAGUGAUCAGUGGACUGCAGGACCUAAAGGAAAAGAAGCAUAAGCCAAGAAUUAUUAUUGGUAAUUUGAUAAUUACUGG
rnacentral:lncRNA from 7 species